UUUCCCCUCCAUUUUUUUUUUUGUUGAAGUGCACAAUUCCUGAACACCACUUCUUUUAUAUUCAUCAUUAUUAACAAUUAUUCUUUUAGAAUUAAAGAGAAUAGAAUCAUAAAUUGGCUCUAUUGUGGUUAACUCUUCCAGCUUGAUUCAAUUUAUAGCUUCCUUUCUCAACACCACGAACUCUCAAUAAAUGGCAAAUCUUUUGAAAUUGAUGCCCUAUAUUCAUAUUUAAUUGUUUAAUAUUGUUUGUCUGCUCUUUGAUUGCUUGACAAAUAAUGUGCAACUCCUGAUAAUCGUCAUGAGGUUGAUUACCACUAGUACCACUAGUAUUGGCUAUCUUAAUGAGGGUGAAAUUUCUACUCUGAUACCACCUGAUGCAGCGUAUAUCACAAAAAAGGAUUGGUACUUCGAUUAAGAUUUAAUCGAAGAUCUUAAGAAACACAAAAUUAAAUACAGAAUAUAAAGAUAAAAUAAAGCAAACAUAGAUUUAUGAAGAAGAAAACUUCAUUGAAUAAAUCUGAAAACUUGAACAUAAUAAAAAUACAAUGGAUAUUUAUAGAAUUCUAAAUCCUAA
rnacentral:misc_RNA from 1 species